UCGAACGGAAAGGCCGGGUGCUUGCACCUGGUACUCGAGUGGCGAACGGGUGAGUAACACGUGGGUGAUCUGCCCUGCACUUCGGGAUAAGCCUGGGAAACUGGGUCUAAUACCGGAUAGGACCACUGGUUGGUACUGGUGGUGGAAAGUUUUUCGGUGCAGGAUGAGCUCGCGGCCUAUCAGCUUGUUGGUGGGGUAAUGGCCUACCAAGGCGGCGACGGGUAGCCGGCCUGAGAGGGUGGACGGCCACAUUGGGACUGAGACACGGCCCAGACUCCUACGGGAGGCAGCAGUGGGGAAUAUUGCACAAUGGGCGCAAGCCUGAUGCAGCGACGCCGCGUGGGGGAUGACGGCCUUCGGGUUGUAAACUCCUUUCAACCAUGACGAAGCUUUUGUGACGGUAGUGGUAGAAGAAGCACCGGCUAACUACGUG
rnacentral:rRNA from 1 species